rnacentral:rRNA from 1 species
CGUGUAGGCGGCCUGGUAGGUCUGCUGUGAAAACUCGAGGCUCAACCUCGAGAUGUCGGCGGAAACCAUCUGGCUAGAGUCCGGAAGAGGAGAGUGGAAUUCCUGGUGUAGCGGUGAAAUGCGCAGAUAUCAGGAAGAACACCUAUGGCGAAGGCAGCUCUCUGGGACGGUACUGACGCUGAGACGCGAAAGCGUGGGGAGCGAACA